GACAAGAGGAAGUCAAGACAAUAAGCUAAGACCCAGUGAGUUCUAUUGCCUGUUCUCUAUUUCAAGGGGACAGUCCCUGCUUUGUUUCUCUUCUCUCCAGUGAAACACUUCCCUGAAAUUCUCCUGGCUUCUGAGAACUGAUCUAGAAUCAGCCCACAGUGAUCAGAAGCGAGCAGAACCCAUCUUGUCCCUUGGAUCAUUCUGUCUUGAGGAUGUGGGAGUAAAAAGGGACACUAAGAAGGGUCCCUUCCUUCCUCUACGGAGUUCUCCUAGCAACUUUUCAUUUCCAUCUUCCUGCAGGCUAAGAUCUACUUACCCAUGUGGAGAGGAGAAGGGAGGGAGGGUGUGCAUGAGGGAGCUUUCCCUGUCCCAGAAGCAAGUGCUUCCCUGUGGUGUUCUGCUGGUAGGAUUUUUACCUGUCUCCCAAGGGAAGCUCUGAGCUGGCCUCAAUUUCUACUCCCUGCUGAGCUGCCUGCGCUGGAAAAUCCUGUGCCUAGAAAGGUGUGUAUCAACCCUGAUGGGUGGACUUAAACAGUUGCAGUGAGUUGUGUGGCUGUACUCAGUCAGGCUAUCUUACCAAGCGAGGUCCUCACAGGUUUAUGCAAAAAAUGCUCAGAUAGCUGCGGUCUGGCUUGUCAGAGCCAUUUGCUGUUCUUGGCAGUUUGUUUUCAAGGGUAAUAACCUGACAUAUGCAUUACUAGCUCAUUCUCCCUCUUACUGUCUCACUAAUAUGUCACAGAGAAUCUGUCUUCAACUCAGAGUCAAUUUCUACAAAACCGGAUUUUGAUUUUUUUUUUUUAAAUGGGAAGAGGAGGAAAAUGUUUUAAACUAAGAAAGCAUUCCUUCAGGUCUUACAACAUCCCCCAUUAUCUUCAGGAGACAUAUCUCAAGACCGCAGGACAUGCCAAGAAUCGCACGAAGUCCCAAAUGGACCCCACAUGUGUUGUCUGUUCCUAUGAUCAUAUACCUGUGAUGAAAUUUUACUUAAGAGUUAGGCUCAGUCAUAGAUCAGCAACAGUAAACAAUAAAAUAUAAGAGGUUCUGUUCUAAGUGAGGCUGGGGUUACUUGAAGACAGGCACUGUGAUAGCACAGCAUCCAAUCUCACAACCCAGAGGGUGACUAAGGAACGUAGGGGCAGUUAGUUCAUAAGGCAUGGAUCUGCAGAGUGAGCCGACUCACCCCAGCCAGAGGGAUCGGGAUGCAAUGUCAUCAAGACACUCAAAGGCCAUGUGACUGUAAGCUUAUGAAUUUCCCUCUCUGUGGGAUUUUCACUUUAUUACUUUUGGACCAGGUUGACUAAAGAUAAUUGAAAUCUUUAAAAAACUGAAACUGAAGAUAAGGGGCACGGGGAAGGGGUAUAUCAUAUUACCAUGGAGGAGAAGUCAACCUGAAAGUUCCAUGGUGCUUUCUGUUCUGGUUCCCUGCUGAUACCAGAAGUCCUGGAUUCUUAGCUCUCCCAUUCUGACCAUCUGCAACGCACUAGGCCACACGAGGCACGCUGAGGUCAUGUGAUGCAUGCUCUAGAAAGCCAAUUGCAGUUUUCUCAUUGUUUUGCCUGUGUCAAGUCACUUAAUCCAUAUAAGUAGCUUAUAGGGCAUGUGCACUCUUUGCAUACUAAUUAGCAAGUGAAGCAACUGAGACUAGGAGAGAUUAAGUAAUUUGUCCCAAGGUCACAAGGUAGUCAGAGCUAGAAUUUGGAACGGGUAGUCUAGCUCAGUCAUAACCAACAUGGCCUUUCUUAUUUACUCUGAGAAUUUACUCUACAAUAACAAUAAUAUUUCUCCAGAUAAGAAACCAAAGUUUUGGAGAAUAAUUUACUGGAGAGACUGAUCCAGAUUCCGAACUCAGUCCAUCUUGGUAAGUUAUUAAGUACCCAUUCUGUAGCCCUGUGGUGGGUACUGAGAGAAUGUUAUCGUUUAUUAUGAUAAGCUGCAUGUAUUUAGUCAUUUUGCUUCUUUCUAUUUCUUAUAACUUUGUUACUUCAUGCUGAAAUGAUAGCACAGGCUUCACUUCACGUGCUUUGAGCGUCACAUGCCAUCAAGGUUAGCCAGGGAUUUCAGCACUGUGCGCAUGUUCUGAGAGUCAGCAGAGAUGUAGGCAAGCCUGAACAAAGCAAAGGAAGCAGCCGAGCUCCUCCGAUGUUUCGGACUCAAGCUUGGGCAAUCAUUCACUGCUAUUUGCUCAUUCCAUUAGUGUUUACUGGGCAUCAGUUAGGUUUUACAUUCUUAGUUGGAAGCCCAAAACUAGAGGAUUUGUCUAUGCAUUUGAGAUACUCAUGCUUCGGUUAGGGAAGAAAACAAGAUAUUUCAAGUACUAUUUUUGAGAUUUUGAGACACUGAUUAAAAGUUUCUGAGAUAAUAAUUGAAUAGGACAUUAUAGGGACAUAAUCUGAAGAUGUCAGAUAAGUAGUCUCAAAUGAUAAAAAUGUACAUUCCAGAUGGAAAUGGAUAAAUCAUGUGGUAUUUUCUAAAUAUAUACUAUAUACCAGGCCUUUUAUUGAAAAUACAUGUUUAUUUUAAUCGUCACUCAAGAAUUGAAGAAGCAAAAAAAACAUAUACAGCCCUGGGAAAAGAGUCAGUGUGGAAAGAUAGGAGGCAGGAGGCUGGCAUAUUUAUCUCACACAACCAUGAAUUGAGCAAUGUAGGGGUAAGGCAAUAAGGGAGACAAGGACACAUGCACUCACGCACACAUGCAUGCACGCACGCAUGCAUGCAUGCACGCACGAAUGCACAUACACUCCCACACAUGCACACUCACACACACCACCCAAAAUCAAAACAAGACAAUAACAAAACAAUCAAUAAUGGGGCUUAGAAGAAGCAUGCUAGAUCAGAAAGAAGGUUGGGUCAGAACGUGCAAACACUGUGGACAACAAACCACGUUGGAAGAUGACCAUAAUGUUUUGGGUACAGGAAAACAAAGUCCUUUAUGCCGGGAGAGAAGAAAAGACUAGAAAGAAGUGGUUAAAGGAGCUGGCUGUCCUGGCAAUGAGAGAGAAAUGGAUGAAGACGGUGCAGUUUUGGUUCUCCCAAGCCAGGAACUGCAGAACAAGGGAACAGAGCAGGGAGGACAUGGAACCUGGGUCUCCACGUAACUCAAGAAGGGUUACCAAAAGUUUCAAGUGUCUAGCAUUUCUAUACACCCCAGUGAUAAAUAAAGGAAGGGAACCAUCCAUGGACUGGAGGGGCAAGGACUGUAGUAAGAAGUAAGUUUUAUAGCCUGCAUGGUAGAUGAAGGGAGCCAGAUCUGAAGAGAUGAUGAAGGUAGCUUUCUGGCUCUGAGCCUCAGUGGUAGAAAAGUCCAGGUGUGGAGCGAGUCCUUGGCAGACAUUCCAGCUGCAGCUCAGGUAAACAGAGCCUGCAGGCAUUCCCAGGAAGAGGCAGCUGUGUCCCGAAGGGCUUUUCUCCGACAGGCCUGGAAGCUGCUACGUGAUCGGGCUUGAGGCGGGCAGCAGCUGGGGUUUGGGAGGACACAGGCACGUGGAUAGCCUCCUGUGGGUACACUGCUGCAGAUGAGACAGCCCUGAGAACCAGUUUGUCUUCCUGGCUUCCUCCUCCACCCUUCGCUACAGAGGCUCAGUGCCACAGCCCGAAACAGCUGCAGAAAGAUUGAUUCAGAGAUGAGGGCUACAGCUUUGAGCCGUGCAGAGGCAGCAGAAAAGGCAAUCUGUGUGCCUCUUUGAAGGACGCUGUUUGUUUAAGGAUCCAAACGUCAAACAACUUCAGUAGCAGACAACAGUGAUUUGGCUAGAACAAUGUAUGCCCCUGAAUUAACAUCAAGAUGGGCUGAACAGAGCAAACUAGAGACUCCUUUUUUUCAAAGUUCAGUAUCUUCCUCUAUGGUCUCAAUUACAGGAGAUCCAUUUGUGCACAAAACAUUUAGGCAAUAAUAUCUGGGUGUCUUUUGGAGUCUACUGUAACCAAAGAGAAAGAAAGGCCGGAACAAAAUGCAAAGGGCAAAAAGAAACUGUUUGGAGACAGUCGGCUACAGUGUAAACUUUUCGUUCUCUCUCAUAGCAAAACCUGAUGGCUGUCUUUG
rnacentral:lncRNA from 1 species